rnacentral:lncRNA from 1 species
CUGGGAGUGGAGGGUAGGUACCAAAUUAUACUGUGUCCAUGUACAGACAGAGCACAGUAAAUCCUGCUUGGACAUGUAUAAUUAUAGCUCAUUAAUUAAAAUAAUGAUAAUAAUAGAAAGGAGAUCAGUAGAAAGAGCAAGUGGAUCAGGGGAAGGGUGGAGGGAAGGGAAAAGGAAGGUACUGGGGAAUGAGAUCAGCUAGAUUAUGAAAUUAUGUAAUGCAUAUGUACAAAUAUGACAUAAUGAAUCCCGCAAUUAGGUAUGAUUGAAAAACCACCAACAAAAAGUGAAUUUAAAAACUGUUAUGUUUUGAUUUGUAUCCCUCCAUAAAGAUAGGCUAAAGUUCUAAGCUCCAGUACCUCAGAAUGCAACCUUAUUUGGAAAUAGGAUUUUAACAGACAUAAGUAAGCUAAACUAGGUUAUAAGGGUGGACCUUAAAUCAAUGUUAUAACAAAAGUAUUUACCAAGAUAAUAAAUUAUUUCUCUUAGCAUUUAUUCAACUUGGAAGACUAUAUGGAAUCAUAUAUAUAUAUAUAUAUAUAUAUAUAUAUAUAUAUAUAUAUAUAUAUUUACAUAUAUAUUUUUGUUUUAUAUAGAAAUAAAUAUUAAUUAUGCUUCUUACCUGACUCAUUAUUGUUCUUUAGAACAAUGUGAAAAAUCCUGAAUCAAAAUCCACUGGCCAGUUGGUUGGGUAACUAACAUAACAUAUUAGUGUAUGUUAAGUUGGUUCACUGGAAACAUUUAACUUUUCAUCUCAUCAGAAGAGGAUAUCUCCACAGAGAUUCCUCAGACGUGUCCUAGGAGCCCUAGGACCUGUUAACAUGAAUUAAAAAAUAAUCAGAGAAGCCACCGACCUGUAAAUGACAAGUGAGAACGUUAGAUCCCACCUCAAAAUACCAAAGACAUUUAUAACCAACUUCGAACUCAAAGCAGGGGCUUCUCAUCUCCAUAAACAUUGUAGAAAGUUUCGAUUUUACAUAGUAGGAACUCAAUACAUCUGUGGGCCAGCUACUAUCCUAAGCAAAGCAGAAUCGUGGGUUUUAUGGAGAGUUGACUGUAUACAUGGUCAUGCACAUUUGGGCAUGAUGGAGAGAUUUCCAGUCCCCAUUCUACGUUUCCGAGAUAAACCCUAGCUGGCUAGAUCUAAAGUCUGAUCAGUCAACCAAUGUCUGAUCAAAAUGCAACAUGACAGCUGAACAGCAUAGAUAACUGGAGUGUGUUAUCCCACAAACUUCUAAAUUUGGGUCUUCUUGGAGCUUUUCUCAGGACCCAUACACGUAUAAUAUAAUUUGUUAUAAUCAUGAAAUACAAUUUGGUUUUGACCCGUGGGAAGUAGGAGAAGUUCAGCACGCCCUCACCAAGACCUUCUUGAUGGCCAACCGCACCGCCAGAAUGGCAACAGAGACCAGCGCCACCUCGUCGGUUGCCUGAAGGUCCCUUCUUAGGGCAGGAGAGACGAACAGCAAGUAGAUGGCUCCACGGCCCCAAGAGAGGCCUUGACACAUGAAAAUCCAUCUUACACUUGAGACAGAUCAGAGGGACUUCAUGGUCCCUCCCAGUGAUGCCUGGGGCUCCAACUCAGUGACAGGAACUAAGACAAACCCGACUUAGCCAAAGAAAGACUUUAUUCCAAAGGAAGAUAGCAACGAGUCAGAUGCUCCAACAACAGGAUUGGCUACUAAGUGUCUCGAGGGCCAGAGAGAAAGGAGCUUUGUUUCCAGGGUGCUGGACAGAGGCUGGCAGGACUGAAGGUGAGGGCUGGGCUGGGCUGGGUGACCAGGUCACACAGGCAGUGUGACCAGGCGGUUGACCGGGAAUGCACUUCCUUGGGGUCAGCAGAUUUCCUGGAGGGUCCAAAGGGUCUUCAGGAGGGUUGUUCUGCCUUGCAACGUUACCCUCGGGGGGUGAGUCCAAGCGCACCAUCCUGUGUGAGGACAGAAGCUUAACGAAGUGUGGUUGAGCCAACUGAGGAGCGGUUCAUUCUGGGAGAACAAUCAUUUAUGAGUAAAAGUAGAGAGAGAGAAAGAAUAAGAAUUCAGGAGACAGUGUCUAGGUUGUCCUAGAAAGCGAGGGGUCAGCCCAGGCUUCUCAAAGUCAGGGAAGAGUGAUUCUUUACAGGGAGCCUCUCCCUGAGCACAAAGGGAUGGGGGUAUACUUUCACCUUCCCCUUUCCCAGUACUGCUGGACUCAGGUGAAGUCCAGCAAUGCCAAGAUGAAGGUGCCCACCCUGGGGCUGCCUGGGGUCAGCUGUGCUCUUGUUGUGCAGUGCCUAGCUCCUUGUUUCUGCCUAGUUGAGCAUGAAGCAAUAAACACACUUAAAGUAACUGCGUCUCCAGGCCAGCUCCCCGCCCUCCAGCCCGCGCCUCACGCUGCCUUGUCCCCUCUUCCUUCCGUGCCCUGUCCCCUCUUCCUUCCGUGCUCUCGUGUCUGCUCUUGCAGAUGGAGCUGCCCUCAGCUCUGCCCACUCCAGGCCCCUAGAGGUCCUGCUGCAAGACAGGCUCUAUGGAGAGAUGGAGCCUUUCCCUGCCUCCUGAGGCUGAGCAGGCAGAAGGGCAGAGGGGGCUCCUGAGGUUGUCCAUGGGAUGGGAUGGAUAUAAUUGGAAUUAAAAAUUGAGAUUGGAAAGGAGGAUUUAAGGAUGGUUAAAGCUGCAGCGGUUACUACUUUGUUUUUGGCCAUGAUGUGUCCCUGGUGCAUGUAUCUCCCGAUACCAUUUAGACUCCGUCCCAAAGCACAUGCCCUCCAUGGGAGGCGAUGGAAAGCAUGAAAUAAUAUGGCCACACUCACCGUUUGCUUGUUGGGUAAACAAAAUGAUGACGAAAAUCUGUCUAGACAGGAAAAGAGAGAGAGAAGAAACUGGACUUACUGACAGUUUCAAGGAGGAGAAUGGACAAUAGGCCUCCCGUGGAGAGGGGCCCAAGUGCAGAGGGCAGAGCGUCCCAGGAGCAGCCCUGGGUCACAUGAGGCAAGGGGGAAGGAAGGCCUGGCUCUCAGCAUCAGACACCAGCUCAUUCCCUGCUUUCCCCACUUUUUGUGAUUUCACUCAAAGUGCAAUGUCACCACUCUGGAGUCACAGUGAGAAAGCUCACCCUGAUGAGGGUGACCCACCUGUCCUCAAAGCCUCCUGUCUCAGAAAACCCUCAGUUCUAGGCAAACCUAGACCAUUGGUGACACGCACUCUGAUCUGGACAUUUCCUGUUUAAAAUUCUGUAAUGAGAUUAAUUAUCAAUUUGAUGUAAAAAUAAACUGAUCAAAUACAAUUUUAUAGUGAGGAGAAAUCAAUAUUCUCAAUUUAUGGAAGUUAUACCCUUUGUGAGACCCAAGUACAGCACCUGAGAUGCCCAGAACUGCACAGGCGUGCACAGGUGUGGUACGAGGUGAACUUUCCUCAUUAUCUACUCUGCACAGUUUAAGAUGCACGUGGCCCUGGGUUCGAGAUCUAAUUGGCACUACUAAUUGUGUGGCCUUGGACAAGUCAUUUACUCUUGCUAAAGCUCAGCUUCCUCACCUCUAAAGUCAAGAUAUAUAUACAGCUGGAGAAUGGUUUCUAUGUAAAAGAGAUGCCUCCACGAAGUCGCUCAAGGUAAUCCCACCCGGGAGGUCCAUAGGCGUCUUUGGCCUCUUUACUCACCCAGGGGAGGCUGUUGGGGUAGAGGAAAACACAGCCAUCGGCAUAUGGAAUCAUCCCGCCCCCCGCAGCCUGUUCACAAAUGACUGGACCCCAGAUCUCACUGGCUUUGUUUAUGAGAAGAGCCGGCCAGGUGUGGACAAGAGAAGAAAAGCCUUGGUUCUUAGGAACGGAGGACCGUCAUCCGGAACCUUCCACCCCGCUUGGCUUCCAGAUCUCAAGGUUUCCAGGAAGCUCUGCUGUGGCCCUGGGAUUCUCACACUGGCAUUUCUGUUCUAGAGACCAGGUUGGGCUUCAGGCCCCUGGUCCAUCACAACAAAGGCAGAGCGGUGGUGUGUGUCCUGUCAGCGGCAGGAUGAGAAGCCCUUCAAGUGACUCCCUCCCCCUGGCAGGUGGGGCAUGGAGCAGAGCUGGCUGGUCCAGCAGCCCAAGCUCCCCUCCCUGAAUAUGGGCACGGAAAAGAGGUGUUCCUCCCAACCUCCCGAAAAACGAACUUCUCAGGGGCACUGUGGGACCUGGGAGGGCUCCUCACGUCCCUCUCACCCUCUGCUUUUACAAGCUCUCUUCCAUCCCUCAUGUACCCUCCACGUCUCCUGCUCACAGGAAAGAAGCCAGGGCCUUUCAGUAGCAUAACAGGACAGCAGUGUGACAUCCCUCCAGGGCACAUCUGACAUCCUUUAUACUCGUCACACUCUUGACCAAGCCUGGGUUCCUCCUUGGUUCUAAAGAUGGUCAAAUCCAAAAGCAAUCUUUGAAAAGUAGAAAAGACCACUAGGAGUGUGAGAGGCCAUCUUCGCAGGUGAUUUCAGUUCCCUCCCUGGCUGGGCGAGAGGCGCUUAGGCACAGCUGUGUCAGAGCUUUCCCCACCCUUCUCCAGGUCCGAGGGCUUAUCUGUGCAGAGGCGUGUCUGGCCACUGCCCCAAAGAUCCAAUCGUCGCCCCUGACCUUGGGAUGCUGCCCCCCUUAACCUUCAUUGGAUGGGAUUUUCCCCAGAAUUUUUUGUUCCCCAAUAAAAGCCCACUCCCUGGCGUAUUCUCCCUCUCUCACUAGCCUCUUCAGUAAACCUCGCUACCACAACAGGUGGCUGGAGGCUGGAGGUAGGAGAAGCCGUCCUGGAGCUGGUUUAAAGGUAAUUAGAGUCUUGUCUCUUUAAUUUAAAACUCCCUAGUGGUUUCUCACGACUCAAACCUUCUUUCAUGAAGCCAGCGCGGGUCGCAGGCUAAACUAUGAGGACAUUUUGAGAACAGUGCACACUCUGAUAUUUGGAGAGAGGGUAAAGCAGGAAAUGCCUACUUAUCUCUAAGCCUCUCACAAA